rnacentral:tRNA from 1 species
UGGCUCAGUGGAUAGAGCGUCAGCCUGCAGAACUGAAGGGUCCUGGGUUCGAUUCCAG